AUUGAACGCUGGCGGCAGGCCUAACACAUGCAAGUCGAGCGGUAGCACAGAGAGCUUGCUCUCGGGUGACGAGCGGCGGACGGGUGAGUAAUGUCUGGGAAACUGCCUGAUGGAGGGGGAUAACUACUGGAAACGGUAGCUAAUACCGCAUAAUGUCGCAAGACCAAAGUGGGGGACCUUCGGGCCUCAUGCCAUCAGAUGUGCCCAGAUGGGAUUAGCUAGUAGGUGGGGUAACGGCUCACCUAGGCGACGAUCCCUAGCUGGUCUGAGAGGAUGACCAGCAACACUGGAACUGAGACAUGGUCCAGACGCCUACGGAAGGCAGCAGUGGGGAAUAUUGCACAAUGGGCGCAAGCCUGAUGCAGCCAUGCCGCGUGUGUGAAGAAGGCCUUCGGGUUGUAAAGCACUUUCAGCGGGGAGGAAGGCGGUGAGGUUAAUAACCUCAUCGAUUGACGUUACCCGCAGAAGAAGCACCGGCUAACUCCGUGCCAGCCGCCGCCGUAA
rnacentral:rRNA from 1 species